GAUGAACGCUGGCGGCGUGCCUAAUACAUGCAAGUCGAGCGAACAGACGAGGAGCUUGCUCCUCUGACGUUAGCGGCGGACGGGUGAGUAACACGUGGAUAACCUACUUAUAAGACUGGGAUAACUUCGGGAAACCGGAGAUAAUACUGGAUAAUAUAUUGAACCGCAUGGUUCAAUAGUGAAAGACGGUUUUGCUGUCACUUAUAGAUGGAUCCGCGCCGCAUUAGCUAGUUGGUAAGGUAACGGCUUACCAAGGCAACGAUGCGUAGCCGACCUGAGAGGGUGAUCGGCCACACUGGAACUGAGACACGGUCCAGACUCCUACGGGAGGCAGCAGUAGGGAAUCUUCCGCAAUGGGCGAAAGCCUGACGGAGCAACGCCGCGUGAGUGAUGAAGGUCUUCGGAUCGUAAAACUCUGUUAUUAGGGAAGAACAAAUGUGGAAGUAACUAUGCACGUCUUGACGGUACCUAAUCAGAAAGCCACGGCUAACUACGUG
rnacentral:rRNA from 1 species